CACACACACACACACACACAUAUCUCUCUCACUCCCCCAACGCGGUCGUACAGUAUCUUCUUCAUUUAACAUCUCUGUCUGUUAAGCUCAAAUCGCUGAAUGUGUGUGUGUGUUUGCUGACUGAAAUUACGCUGUGACUUACCCAAGCAAUUGUAGAUGCCCAUCAUUACAUGCGGAGUUGAUAUUGAUACCCGCGCACCGUCGCUCUUCUCUACACAGUUAUUUUUAACAUGUUCAGUGACACUUUGCAGAGAGUGAAUGUGCAUUGAUUUGAUGUUAAUGCAUUAGAGCCGUUAUAGGCAGAAUUGUUGCUUUUUUCACCACCGAAUUUCGCGCGGGACCAAUGUUGCACGUAUUUUUCCUAAUGCGCUUUUACCCAAGUGUAGCCUAUGUGUACAGGCAAUGUUCACCCUCUGGCUUCUGAAGAUGCCUCCGCAAUUUUUGCCUCAAUAAACCAAGACAUAUUACCAAGUAAGAGCCGCGUAGCUCAUUCAGUAGGCAUGUACACGGAAUUAUAAAUUAUAGGGAUAGGCGGCGUGCGCUUAUUCUCAGCAUGUCUAACUUUCGUGGCUCAUCCCUGGCCGUCAUUCGAGUUAAAUGCAAGGACAGGGAUGACUCCAAAACUGCGACUACCACCUAAAACAUCACGGCCCGCUGAUUUAUAUUGGAGAACUUUGGACUUUUCAGCUGUGGAUACCAACCAAAAAGCGCUGCACAUUUGCGCGGUGAUUCCAACUUUCUAGUAGGCCUAAUUAAAUUAACUAGGUUUGUGGAUGCAGGACGGAUGGUUGUUCAAGCUCUCUCAUGCCACCAACAAUUGUGAAAACAGGACAAGAAUGUGGCAGAAUCACUUUUUGGAAACGUCCGAUAGAGAUUUCGUUGUCGAGUCGACACUGGAUUAAGUUCUUGAAAAUAGACGAGUGUUAUGCGUCUCAUGCUUGUUUCCUUUACACGAGGGCUGUGAGAGCGAAGGAGGAAUGCUGGUCCGAGAGAUAUUGCCGCUCAUUUUAGGUUUUUCGUAUUUUGUUUUUGGUCACUGCUUUCUAACGUCGUUUUUACUUUUUUUCCAGCUUUUCAUAUUAGAUUAUCACUGGGUAAGUACUGUCUACCCUGCCUACCCUGACUGCAGGUCACUGAUAUACGACCAGGUAAGCAUGGUAUAGAUCAGUUCUGCACGGCUUGGCUCCGUGUGAAAAGGGCAGUAGUCUCUCCCAUUUUGUCCUAUUUCCUAGAUUCAAUUACACUCAUUAGGAAAGUGGAAAUCAAGGUUCUUGGUACUAGGGUACCCUGAUCUGCGUUGUUAAGCAUACUUUUUUUAAAUCUAAACACACCCUGGGCUAAGCAAGUUCUGGUAACUACCUGAGUAGUUGGUCCAGGAUCCAGG
rnacentral:lncRNA from 1 species